rnacentral:misc_RNA from 1 species
GUCUGGAUGACUGAAUGGUUCUUGUCUGUGUUGAACACGAGAUAAUCUCCGAGGCUGAAGUUCUUCCCGGCUGCCCAGCUCUGGUAAUUCACCUUUGGCACCAUGAGGUGGUCAAACCACCCUAGAGCAUCUCCGACGGUGUAGUUUUUGUAGGCUUCGGAUCUUUGGGGUGAGUUGAUGAAGAGGAUGAUGGAGAACAAGAAGAAUGAGGAGAAUGGAAGGGAUUGGAAGGCUCUGCGAACGGAUCUGAUCCACUGCUCCAUUCCUUCACGGGAUCCGAGAAAGGUAAUAGGGG